AAAGCUUUGAUGGCCUUCCAGUUCUGGUGAGAAGAGCCGAAGGAGAAGCCGUUGGAGGCAAACAGUGGACGCCCAUGGGGGACAAUGUGAAGGAAAAUGGCUUUUUAAGAUGAUGGAGACCAACAGCAACUACAAGAACAUGUCAUCAGCUGAACUGACAAGGCUGGCCGAGCCUACAAGCAUCCAGUACAGCUGGUACCAAAUCCUCAGCGGGUUCCCCGUUGUCGUCAGCCAGGCCAGGAGGAUACCAGGACAGGACCAGAACCCCUGGAGACACACGGAAACAUACGAGUCUGAUCAUCCAUUCAGGACCAAAGACCCUGGUAAAUACCUCAGAGAGCACUGUCCAAAAUGCAUAUGAACCUCUAAAAAUAUUUACUUGUGCAUUGUUGCAAUGAUGUAUGGAUUUUGUGCUGAUUGUAAGAAAUGCUGACAAUCCUGUGGGGAGAAAAGGGCGGUGAAAAACUUUUGCUUUUAUUAAAAGCACUGUAAAAGUUUUAUCCUGAUAAUCCAUUAAGGUAAUUACAUGCCGAUUUUACAGGACUCAGACAAAUGCGGGUAAGGUUUGUGGCGAGAUGCUGAAUGCAUGGAUGGAUAAUGAAACAAUGGGCCCUUUGGCACAGAUACACAAAAGGUCUCUGAUCCCUACUAUGUAGGAGACAAGACAUACAGAGAGGUGUAAAACUAUAAAUGACAUUCUGCAUCUCUUUGUCUACAUUUUGAGACUCUUUUUGGACAUUUUGCAUCUUUUUGUUAAUUUUGUGUCCCUUUGUAAUCAUUUUAAGUACUUUUACAUCACUCUCUGGUCAUUUUCGCCUGUUCAGUAAUCCAUCCAUGGCUGUGUAGAGUAAAGUUGAUUGUUUUUAUCUGAAUGCCUUCCUGCCCAUCACCCAUAUCCUGCACCUGACUGAUGAAUGUGCACCUGUCAUUUUCAGACUAUUUAUUAUGUCUUGUUUUAGUGGCAAUCUCUCUGCAUAGCUUGAGUUUGUAACAGCUCAUAAAUUCCAGUAGAGAAAUGCUUGUUCAUGCUCUGAUGCAGGCUGAGAAAUGGCUUCAUAUCAGCCACAGUGGUGCCAGCCACCAGAGAGGAUCUGGCACAUUGGAUAUGCACUCAGUGCUAAUUCAUUAAACUCUUGUCUGCUUGCUGAGGAGCUGUGGGGACUAUUAGAUUGCAA